rnacentral:lncRNA from 1 species
UUAGAUAUAAAUCAGAUAGAAGACGAGUUAGGAGGAAUAUACUUAAGUGAUGACAAUCACUAUUACUACCUAGAUAAUUAUUCAGAUGGAUAUUAAACAAAUUAACAAAUGCUAGAAUAUAUUCAAAGAGUUAGAGAAAAACAAAGUUGGCUAUACGAAGAAAUUAAUUAUAGAAACCAUCUUAGACAAGGAAGAGAACAAUAAAAAG